UUGAGGCUACCCUAGGCCAGUGUGGUAUAGAGACCCUGACCACUCUGGAAGUAGCUGGCUGCAUGCUAGGAGGUAACGUUCACAUUUCCCUGGUUUGUGUUUGAAAAAUGAGGGGCCAAACACCCAAGGUGGCUAAACAGGAAGAGGAGAGAGGAUGAGGGGGAGGGGAAAGGAGAGGAGAAUGCUAUACAAAGGUUACUUUGUCAAUGUUGUGCCCACCUUUGGCAAGACAGCCCCAAUGCUAAUUCCUAA
rnacentral:lncRNA from 1 species